rnacentral:rRNA from 1 species
AAACUAGGAUUAGAUACCCUAUUAUUUAAGAGCUUUACAUUGUAAGUAAAUAUUAAUUACGAAAGCAAAAAAUUAUGGCGGUAUUUUAAGCUUUUCAGAGGAAUUUGCUCUUUAAUGGAUAAAACACCUAAAUCUUACUUAAAUUUGUUAAGUCAAUUUGUAUACCACUAUUAAAUUAAUUAUUAAUUUUAAUUUAUAAAAUUUAUGCAAAUUUAAAAAAAAUUAAGUCAAGGUGCAGUAAAAAUUUAAGAAUGAAGUGAAUUACAUUUCUUUUAAGAGAUUAUUAAAAUUAAAAUUUUAAUUUAGGAUUUGAAAGUAAAAUUAAAAUAGAAUGUUAAUUUGAAUUAAGCUCUAAAAUAUGUACACAUCGCCCGUCGCUCUCAUU